GUGGAUCCCAGCCCAGCAGUAACGUGGGGUGCCGUGUGAACGCUCUUUCUUGCCCUGGAGACUCAAUGAUUUUAUGUCUGAAGGUUCAUAAGUCACAAGAUAUCUGGAAUUAGGUGGUAAGUCUUUUUCUUUCUUUAGUGGGAGCCUAUAAAACCUCAG
rnacentral:lncRNA from 1 species